rnacentral:rRNA from 1 species
AGUGAACGCUGGCGGUAGGCCUAACACAUGCAAGUCGAACGGCAGCACAGUAAGAGCUUGCUCUUACGGGUGGCGAGUGGCGGACGGGUGAGGAAUACAUCGGAAUCUACUUUUUCGUGGGGGAUAACGUAGGGAAACUUACGCUAAUACCGCAUACGACCUACGGGUGAAAGCAGGGGAUCUUCGGACCUUGCGCGAUUGUAUGAGCCGAUGUCGGAUUAGCUAGUUGGCGGGGUAAAGGCCCACCAAGGCGACGAUCCGUAGCUGGUCUGAGAGGAUGAUCAGCCACACUGGAACUGAGACACGGUCCAGACUCCUACGGGAGGCAGCAGUGGGGAAUAUUGGACAAUGGGCGCAAGCCUGAUCCAGCCAUACCGCGUGGGUGAAGAAGGCCUUCGGGUUGUAAAGCCCUUUUGUUGGGAAAGAAAAGCAGCAGGUUAAUACCCCGCUGUUCUGACGGUACCCAAAGGAUAAGCACCGGCUAACUUCGUG